UACGUAGGCAGCGAGCGUUGUUCGGAAUUACUGGGCGUAAAGAGUGUGUAGGCGGUGUUCCCAGUCUGUUGUGAAAUCUCCCGGCUUAACUGGGAGGGUGCAGCGGAAACUAGAAUGCUAGAGGGUGGGAGAGGUAAGCGGAAUUCCUGGGUAGCGGUGAAAUGCGUAGAUAUCAGGAGGAACACCAAUGGCGAAGGCAGCUCGCUGGGACGGUACUGACGCUGAGACGCGAAAGCGUGGGGAGCAAACAGG
rnacentral:rRNA from 1 species